GCAUGUUCACAUGAUUAAAGGUAUUCCGGUAGACGAUGGGGAUGCGUUCCAUUAAAUAGUAGGCGGGGUAACGGCCCACCUAGUCUUCGAUGGAUAGGGGUUCCGAGAGGAAGGUCCCCCACAUUGGAACUGAGACACGGUCCAAACUCCUACGGGAGGCAGCAGUGAGGAAUAUUGGUCAAUGGGCGAGAGCCUGAACCAGCCAAGUAGCGUGAAGGAUGACUGCCCUAUGGGUUGUAAACUUCUUUUAUAAAGGAAUAAAGUCGGGUAUGCAUACCUGUUUGCAUGUACUUUAUGAAUAAGGAUCGGCUAACUCCGUGCCAGCAGCCGCGGUAAUACGGAGGAUCCGAGCGUUAUCCGGAUUUAUUGGGUUUAAAGGGAGCGUAGAUGGAUGUUUAAGUCAGUUGUGAAAGUUUGCGGCUCAACCGUAAAAUUGCAGUUGAUACUGGAUAUCUUGAGUGCAGUUGAGGCAGGCGGAACUCGUGGUGUAGCGGUGAAAUGCUUAGAUAUCACGAAGAACUCCGAUUGCGAAGGCAGCCUGCUAAGCUGCAACUGACAUUGAGGCUCGAAAGUGUGGGUAUCAAACAGGAUUAGAUACCCUGGUAGUCCACACGGUAAACGAUGAAUACUCGCUGUUUGCGAUAUACAGCAAGCGGCC
rnacentral:rRNA from 1 species